rnacentral:misc_RNA from 1 species
UUUCCGUAGGUGAACCUGCGGAAGGAUCAUUAGUGAACGCCAUCACGGGCUUAUAACUAUUCCAAACCUCUGUGAACCGUGCCCUUCGGGGCUAUUCUACAAACAUUGUGUAAUGAACGUCAUUUAUCAUAAGAACACAAAACUUUCAACAACGGAUCUCUUGGCUCUC